CGGACCAUGAAAUAGCAUACAGUGCCAGAAAGAAAGGUGAUCAGUAUCAGAAAUGGCAUUGCAGAUAAGGUAUUGCUCACGACAAAUGCAAAAACACCAUAGUGCCCAUUCAUCCUCUCUCUUUGAAAAACCUUCAUAUCUUCGACGAAAGAAGGGAAUCCUCCAAUUGACAUGAAUGUCACAAAUCCAAAGACGAAUGAUGCACAUGCUCCUCUUGCCAGGAUGGAACUAUAACCGGUUCCCACGUUAAGAUAGAUAGUUCCAAUGCAGAUAGUGACCACCAAGUAGAUAACAAGCCUCAACCAGUAAUAACCAAAGUCUCUUGACAUGUUAACAAAGGAACGUUUCGUUAAGGUGUAGGCCUGCAUAAAGAAACUAGCCUGACUUCCUCCAGAAUCUAGCACUGUUCCUUUAACUUUCGACAUUUCUUCAACCCUUUCAUUAGCUGAGUAGCUGUACUGAGAACGACGAUAAUAGUCUACUAAGAUGCGUAUAGCUUCAG
rnacentral:misc_RNA from 1 species